rnacentral:rRNA from 1 species
UACGUAGGGGGCUAGCGUUGUCCGGAAUCAUUGGGCGUAAAGAGCGUGUAGGCGGCCAGGUAGGUCCGCUGUGAAAACUUGAGGCUCAACCUCGAGAUGUCGGCGGAAACCCCCUGGCUAGAGUCCGGAAGAGGAGAGUGGAAUUCCCGGUGUGAGCGGUGAAAUGCGCAGAUAUCGGGAAGAACACCCGUGGCGAAGGCGGCCAACUGGACGGUGACUGACACUGAGACGCGAAAGCGUGGGGGAGACAAACAGG